rnacentral:rRNA from 1 species
AAACAUAUGUCUCUGCUAACUCGUAAGAGGAUGUAUAGGGACUGACACCUGCCCGGUGCUGGUAGGUUAAGAGGAGUGGUUAACUUCGGUGAAGCUACGAAUUGAAGCCCCAGUAAACGGCGGCAAUAACUAUAAUUGUCCUAAGGUAGCGAAAUUCCUUGUCGGGUAAGUUCCGACCUGCACGAAUGGUGUAACGACUUCAACACUGUCUCAACGCAAGGCCCGAUGAAAUUGUAGUAUCGGUGAAGAUACCGAUUACCUGUGGUUAGACGGAAAGACCCCAUGAACCUUUACUGUACCCUGAUAUUGAUAAUUAGCUAUUUAUGUGUAGAAUAAGCGGGAGGCUGUGAAACAGAGUCGUUAGGCUAUGUGGAGCCAUUAGUGAAAUACCGCUCUUAAAUAGUUAGUUAUCUAAUGGAGACCGCAAAUCCGGUUUCCAGACAGUGUUUGGUUGGCAGUUUGACUGGGGCGGUCACCUCCUAAAGAGUAACGGAGGUGCGCAAAGGUCACCUUAUCCUGGACAGAAAUCAGGAGUUAAGUGUAAAGGCAGAAGGUGGCUUGACUGUGAGACAGACAUGUCGAGCAGGUACGAAAGUAGGUCUUAGUGAUCUGGCGGUUGCGCGUGGAAGCGCCGUCACUUAACGGAUAAAAGGUACUCUGGGGAUAACAGGCUAAUUUUGCCCAAGCGUUCAUAGCGACGGCGAAGUUUGGCACCUCGAUGUCGGCUCAUCGCAUCCUGGGGCUGUAGAAGGUCCCAAGGGUAUGGCUGUUCGCCAUUUAAAGCGGUACGU